rnacentral:lncRNA from 1 species
UGUGGAUGAGUGUGUAUACGUGUGAGUGUGUGCGUGUGUGGGUGUGUGGGACUGUGAGUGUGCAUGCAUAUGCGUAUGUCUUAGUGUGUAUGUAUGAGUGUGUGUGUGAGUGUGAUUGCCAUUUCUCAUCUUAUGAAGGAGGAAACAGGCACAGAGAAAGGUUGUGAGCUGGUCUCCCCUAGAUGUAAGAUAUGUGGCUUACCAGGCAGAGUUAGGCCUUUGACCUAAAAACAACCUCUUUGAUCUCAUUCUGUUGUCCUUUGCUGAUUUUUUUUCUCCAAGCUGAUCAUUAUACCUUAAAUGUCUUUGGCUGUAAGGGUGCUGUAAUUUAUGGAUGCCGUUCAGAUAUUUGAACAGAGAUGUCACAUACACCAUCAUAUUUUUAAGUUAGGAGGGAGAUUGGAGCUAGAGGUGCUGUAUUUAUUCAAGCAUUCACUAAAUACUUGCGAUGUGUCACAGAGGCAUAUACCAUGUGUUUGUUUUUACUACAACUGAAAUCCACCCCGACUUUCAUAUCAUGAUGACUUUGCUACUUUCUCUGCCUCAGAUGUUAUUUACACCCAACAAAUUCCUACUUCUAUUGGAGGCCCCAUUCCAAUAGCACCUCUGUAAAAACUCUUCUCUGUAGUAGGCAGAGUCCAUCAUAUUAUCUUUUCUGCCAAAGCAUCAUACUUUGCUACCUUCCAUACCACCCAGCAUGCUAUGAUUUGAAUGGCAGGUGACUGUCAAUACACCAGAAUAUUCCAAGCUCCCUCACCUCAGCAACCUGAGUAGCUGGUACUACAGGUAUGCACCACCAUGCCUGGCUAACUUUUUUAUUUUUUGUAGAGAGGGAGUCUUGCUACGUUGCUCAGGCUUGUCUUGAGACUGAGUCCCAGACAGAUACUGCCUGGCUUACUCUUCUUUUUGAGUUUGCCUGGGCUAUAAUCCUUUUCCUUGAUGUGAGAACAUGUUCCACAAAUGCAGAACUAUAAUGAGAAUUUUUGCCAAGAUUUUAUCCUGUAUAUGUUCACUUUUUUGGGAUAUGUUCCAAAACAAUUUUUUUUAACAGGAUAAUUUCUGGGGAGAAAGCUUACUGUGUUUAAAACCUGAAAUUUCAAGGGCAGAUGAAAGAUUUUUUUCAAGUUUAAUUUAUUGCCCUGAUUGGAACACUUCUGAAAAUGAAAGGGCAUGCUAUUAAAAAUUAUACUGGGACAACUUGGGUAAACUGGGACUCUCCUGGCUAAACUGUGUCCUAUGAUCACCCUAAUUGUAAAUCACCAUUGCCUCCUUGC